AGGGGCAGGUGUAGCUCAGUGGCAGAGCGUGUGCUUGAAAUGCACGAGGCCCUGGGAUCAACCCCCAGUGCCUCUG
rnacentral:tRNA from 1 species